AGUGGCGGACGGGUGAGUAACGCGUGAGAAUCUGCCUUGGGGUCGGGGACAACCACUGGAAACGGUGGCUAAUACCGGAUAAGCCGAUUGGUGAAAGAUUUAUUGCCCGAAGAGGAGCUCGCGUCUGAUUAGCUAGUUGGUGAGGUAAGAGCUCACCAAGGCAGCGAUCAGUAGCUGGUCUGAGAGGACGAUCAGCCACACUGGGACUGAGACACGGCCCAGACUCCUACGGGAGGCAGCAGUGGGGAAUUUUCCGCAAUGGGCGAAAGCCUGACGGAGCAAGACCGCGUGAGGGAGGAAGGCUCUUGGGUUGUGAACCUCUUUUCUCAGGGAAGAAGCUCUGACGGUACCUGAGGAAUCAGCCUCGGCUAACUCCGUGCCAGCAGCCGCGGUAAUACGGAGGAGGCAAGCGUUAUCCGGAAUUAUUGGGCGUAAAGCGUCCGCAGGUGGCGAUUCAAGUCUGCUGUCAAAGCACGGGGCUUAACUCCGUAAAGGCAGUGGAAACUGAAUAGCUAGAGUGCCGUAGGGGUAGAGGGAAUUCCCGGUGUAGCGGUGAAAUGCGUAGAGAUCGGGAAGAACAUCGGUGGCGAAAGCGCUCUACUGGACGGCAACUGACACUCAGGGACGAAAGCUAGGGGAGCGAAUGGGAUUAGAUACCCC
rnacentral:rRNA from 1 species